GUCUCCACUCCCCAUUUGUAAUGGGAAAGCAGGGCUUUUUGCUUGAGCACAGCAGAACCGGGAACCUCCUCCAACAGUAAGGAUGGAUGGCAGCCUGACUCGACACAGGGAACGGCCCCUCAGCCUUAUGGCUCUGCGCCUGCAACCAGCAGAAAGCGGGGUUGGCUUACGGGUGCGGCCAAUGUAGAGGAGAGGAGUCGAGGGACACAGACCAUCCCAGGCCUCUGUUGACAGCGUCGUCUGCUUCUCUCCCGACUUGGGAUCCACGACGAACCAGGAUGUACAGGCUGCCAUCAUUGGGGUCUGGAAGAAAUGCCGGUCUGAAAGGAAGGAGAACGAAAUGCCAGCCAUGUCCUGCUUCAGGGCACAAGCCAGCUACGCACAGGGACCCAGCGGGGAGCCCCGAGCAGUCACAGCUGCUUGUGUGAAGCUGCCCAGUGUGGUGCAUGUACCCCCCUUAAAACAGCAAGACCCCUGGGACUGGGAUAUGCACAAGGUGUCAUUCUCCAGUGUCCCCUGCUCAGAGCAGCACUGGCAGGAUCUGAACUGGAGGGAGUGUCUCCAGCCCUUCUCAGGCAGGAGGAGAGUCUCUGGGAUGGGGUACCCCCACAGGCAAUGGUGAUCCCAGUGGACCUGACCCCCAAAUAAACACCCUCCAGAGUCAUUGCUCACCGUCCUUCAGGGUCCACUUGAUGUCGCCUGUCUUCUUACUCACAGCGUGAAGGUUCCCAUCAAGGGUGGACACAAACAGCAGUGUUUCUGGGACAGUCACUGUGCUGCCAGCGAGACACUGAGGGCAGAAACAUGGCAAAAAUAACACAGUGCCUCACCAGGACAACAAGAUCCAUUUAAUGGGCCUGCCAACCGCAGCCCCCGGUACACCAGCUAACCACUCCACUGUGUUACUGAGAAAGUGCCCAAUGGGUCAAGAAAUGGGCAGAGGAAGGUUCCCCCCUAAAUUGAUACCACCCUGUACUGUAAUCCCAUCAAGUCUCAUAACUGAAGCAGAGUCAGAAUGGGUCACCCCUCGGGAGGGAAGACAUGGGAAAAAAAAAAACAAAUACAGGAAUUGGUGCUAUAGAGGGUGUUCUCCUUACUGAGUCUGUGCUACUUUGUGACAGGGUGUC